GCCGGGGUGGCGUAAUGGUAGCCGCGCUCGACUCAAAAUCGAGUCUCGCAAGAGGUGGAAGUUCAAGUCUUCUCCCCGGCA
rnacentral:tRNA from 2 species